rnacentral:rRNA from 1 species
UACGGGGGGGGCAAGCGUUGUUCGGAAUUACUGGGCGUAAAGGGCUCGUAGGCGGCCAACUAAGUCAGACGUGAAAUCCCUCGGCUUAACCGGGGAACUGCGUUUGAUACUGGAUGGCUUGAGUCCGGGAGAGGGAUGCGGAAUUCCAGGUGUAGCGGUGAAAUGCGUAGAUAUCUGGAGGAACACCGGUGGCGAAGGCGGCAUCCUGGACCGGCACUGACGCUGAGGAGCGAAAGCCAGGGGAGCAAACGGG